CUCGACUUCUCUAUCUUCAACUCCUUCGUCACUUUCCAAUCCCUAAUUUCCUCAUCUUCUCCUCUUCCAAAUCCCUAAUUUCGAAAACCCAAGCAUCAGGAGUUCACGAACUCACACCUCUCCUACGACAGCGAGUUCUCGCAAGCGGUGGAAUAGAAGUAGGUGGCGCAGCAAGAGGCUGAGCGGUCCAAGUUCGUUGUGAUGAAGGCCGAGCAGGAGCGACAGGCUGUGAUUAUCCGUGCCGAGGGAGAGAGCGAUGCGGCAAAGCUAAUCUCUGACACUACUACCUCGGUUGAAAUUUACAAAUAUUCUUACUUAAAUUUUUUUCCCUAUUGCAGAAUAAAUUUAGAUGUUCCUGAAAGAUACCGGAAUUGUGCAUCAAAAAAGCAGUGCUACUGAAAGUUUCAAUCCUUCAAAGCUCAGGAGGAAUGCUUAUGCUGCAUCUGAUAUAAGUAGCAUUGUUUCCCAGAGGUAACACAACUCACUUAUGCCAGAGGGAGGCUUCAGUUCCAUGACUUGUGAAUAAUGAAAGAAUCUGAUAAAGCAUAAGCGAGACCAACAUAAAGGCUUCAAAUGGUGCUGCUUUGGCAAGGUUAUUGCACGACACUUUGUUUUUUAACAUCGUUUUCGAGGCACAUUUGCUCUGCUCAGCUAGUUUAGUACUUGACUUAGCAAGCUUUGUGGAAGAUGAAAAUGCAUAUCAGUUUUUGCUUCAACCACCAAAUGCAUCAACAUUCAUUGGAAACACAGUAAGCAUGCACUACAAUGGUUUUAUAUAUUCUUACCGAUAUGUCAUUUACAUGACAUGUCAUGAUGUUGUGCUAAAUUUCCCUCAAAGUACACCUACAAAAUCACGGCUAUUACCUGCGGCUUUUACAAAACCACGGCUAUUUCCGGCGGUUUUUACAAAACCCCUACUAUUUCUGGCAGUUUUUACAAAACCCCGGGUAAUUGCAGCGGUUUUUGAAAAAACCGGUGGUAAUUUUUAACGACGCCGUUUUUACCCGCGUUUUUUCAACCACAAGAAACACAUUUUCCAGGGGUUAUAACCGUUGGUAAUGCUAAAAAUAACCCCUGGAAAAAUUGUACAUUUUUGUAGUGUGUGAGGGCUAAAUUUGUCUCAGUUAGACAUAAGAGUAGAGGCAUA